CUUUCCCCGCUCCCCGCCCCUGCGCCCGCGCGGCGCCUAGACCCGCUCCAGGUGCCGGGCUCAGCUGCCCUCCCUGCCUGCGAACGGGGCCCACGCGCUCCCACGCCUCUCCCGGCUCAGAUGAGCGACGCUGGCACAGGCACACUUACUUGCUGGACAGCUUUCCUGGACCUGGACAGUGGGCUAAGGAUUCCAGGACGGAGGGGCAUUUUCCCAUCUAGUAUUCCACGGAGCGGCACUCCCACUGUGUUGUGUAUCUUAAUUGUGCUUGUGUGACUCACUGUGUUGUAAGCUACUUUGAAACCGGGACAUCUUUCCACUUGAGCGUUCUCUAGUCCCAGCGAGUGCUCCCUGCCCACAAGGAAUUUGGAAUCUGAAGAGAAAAAGUACUGAUUGAUGUAGAACCCUCAGCUCCUUCUUCAGCACCACAUCUACCUGCAUGCUGCCAUGCUUCCCACCAUGACGACAAUGGACUAAACCUCUGAACCUGUAAACCAGCACCAAUUAAAUACUUCCUUAUUGAGGUUUGGUCUGUUGCUAUGUAUUGUAAUGCUAAAUUCUGUACCUGAAGUUUUUGUUGUGCAAACCUUGUUCCUUAAUAUAAAACUAUUGGUUAAAUAAAAAUGGCUACAACCAAUUACUUGAAGGAUUAGAGAUAGGUGGGUUUUGAGUUACCUGGUUGGAGAUUGUAGAGAGGGAGAGAAGGACAGGAGGAGGAGGAAGAAGAGGAGGAGGAGGAAGAGGAGGAGGAAGGGGAAGAGGAGGAGGAAGGGGAAGAGGAGGAGGAAGGGGAGGAAGGGGAGGAGGAAGGGGAGGAAGGGGAGGAGGAGGAGGAGGAGGAAGAAGAAGAAGCUGCCCCAAGAGGAGAUGGACCAUGAGCACAUGGCCAGGAGAUCCAGCCAGUACUUGGGGUACACUGCUGGGGUAGUAGCCAGGCCAGAAGUUAAAAAAGUAAAUUAGGUGUUACCCCCUAGUAAUUGUCAAAGCCAAAUAAAAUGAUCAUAGUCUGA